rnacentral:tRNA from 1 species
AUUAGCUCAGUCGGUAGAGCACUUGACUUUUAAUCAAGGUGUCCCGGGUUCGAUUCCCGG